UUGAACGUAUGUUGUUCUUGCUGGUAAUUUGGUUGUGUAAGGCAGUCUUGGGGAUUGGCUUUUAAGAUUUUUACCCGAAGUGGUUCAGUUUUGUCAUCUGAUUUUUCAUGACCUCUUAAUAGUUUUCAGAUUUGUGGAAGUUGUGUCUAGGGUACCUGUGUGCGUCUUAGUGACAUUUAAAAUAGAUUCAGCUGAAUUUAACAAUUUCUGCCCUAAAACUUGACCUUUUAGAUUGAGAUGAGUGAAGCCUUUCGGAGCUCUUGGCCGUGAGACAUAUACAAGUGUGCUGGCUGGGGAAGUGCUGGGGGCAGCUUAACUAGCAUGUUGAACAGGAUGCGGGAGUGAGUUUAAGGGAGGCAGUUGCAUUAGGUCCCAUCUCUGCCUUGUGGAGGAACUGUGUCAUCUGCCUGUCCUUCAAGUGCAGCUAAUUGCUUCUGUUUACUUCCCUUUAGGUUUUGGAAAUCCCUUGUCUCCAUAUUGCUGGCAUCAACUUCGUGCUCAGUGGCAGGGCUCACUCAAUGGAGACCAGGAGGACUAACGCUUGGUGCUGAUUUGUGUCUGGAUCACGGCAUCAGGCAAUCUGUGCCUUGUUUGUGCAAAGAGCCAGUGACACUCUGUCACUGCACUUCCUACAAACUUCUGAAGAUAAGAAGGUGGAGGAGUAUACAAUUUGAUUUGAACUUUACAGUACAUAUUUGCUCUAGUUUUGAAGCCCAGAGCUGCUGGAGGUGUGAGUGACAAGUCUUGAAAGUGGCCUUAUUCCAACUCCAGAAAUUCCCCAGCUGAACUUUGAGUCUUCUGUGUACACAGUCCUAGCACAUCAGGGAACAUGCCAACUCAAUCCCUGCUAGUGUACAUGGAUGGACCAGAAGUCAUCAGCAGCGCUCUUGGCACCCAGGGGGAGGUGGGUGAUGCCUUGUCAAUUAAAGGGACCACUGCUGUACCUUUCAGAGCUUCACAAGAAAAAAAUAUCAUCCAGAUAGAAGGAUUUAUGCCCUUGGACUGCAUGUUUUGCAGUCAGACCUUCACACAUGCAGAAGACCUUAACAAACACGUCUUGAUGCAGCACCGGCCUACCCUCUGUGAGCCAGCAGUUCUGCGUGUGGAAGCUGAGUAUCUCAGUCCUUUGGAUAAAAGUCAGGUGCGAACAGAACCACCAAAGGACACGAGCUGCAAAGAAAAUGAAGAAUUCAGCUGUGAAGUAUGUGGACAGACAUUUAGAGUUGCUUUUGAUGUUGAGAUCCACAUGAAGAAACACAAGGACUCUUUCACUUACGGGUGCAACAUGUGUGGGAGAAGAUUCAAGGAGCCGUGGUUCCUUAAAAAUCACAUGCGGACGCACAAUGGCAAGUCGGGUGCCAGGAACAAACUGCAGCAAGGCCUGGAGAGUCCUGUCACCAUCAAUGAAGUUGUCCAGGUACACGUGGCCGGGAGCAUCUCAUCUCCUUACAAGAUCUGUAUGGUUUGUGGCUUCCUAUUUCCAAAUAAAGAAAAUCUAAUUGAGCACAGUAAGGUACACACCAAAGAAACUGCUUCCGGUACCAGCAGUACACAGACCGACUCUUGGCAAGAGGGAAUGCAGGAGGGAACGCCGUCUCCGCGGGAGGAGUUUCUGCAGUUCUUGAACUUAAUGCCCAGAUCUCACCCUGAGUCUGGGAGCAGGCCCAUGAGGUGCAUACCUCAGCUGGAUCCCUUCACCACCUACCAGGCGUGGCAGCUGGCCACCAAAGGGAAGGUCGCCAUCGCCCAGGAAGAAGUGAAGGAGUCCGGGCAGGAGGGAAGCACCGACAAUGACGACUCCUGUUCCGAAAAAGAAGAACUUGGAGAAAUUUGGAGUGGGAGUAAAUCGGAAGGUUCUGGAAAGUCUAAAACAAGUAAAAACAGUUGCACAGGGCUCUCGCAAGACAAAGAGAAGCCCAGACACACCAAUGGUGAGGUGCCCUCCGCGGACGCGGACCCCAAGGUGUGUGGCAACAAAGAGAAGCCCACACACUGCUCUGAGUGUGGCCGGGCCUUCAGGACCUACCACCAGCUGGUCCUGCACUCGCGCGUGCACAAGCGGGACAGGAGGGCGGACGCUGAGUCGCCCACCAUGGCCGUGGAUGGAAGGCAGCCUGGGACGUGCUCCCCAGACCUCACCACUGCUCUGGAUGAUGGUGGGGCUGUGGACCGAGAAGGUGGCUCUGAAGACGGGUCUGAGGAUGGGCUCCCUGAAGGGCUGCAUUUGGAUAAAAAUGAUGAUGGAGGAAAAGUAAAGCAUCUUGCAUCCUCGAGAGAGUGUAGUUAUUGUGGAAAGUUUUUCCGUUCAAAUUAUUACCUCAAUAUUCAUCUCAGAACGCAUACAGGUGAAAAACCAUACAAAUGUGAAUUCUGUGACUAUGCUGCAGCCCAGAAGACAUCUCUGAGGUAUCACUUGGAGAGACACCACAAGGAUAAGCAGGUGGAGGUUGCCGCAGAAGCCAAGAGUGAGGGUAAAAGUCAGGAGACCCAAGAUAUACAAUUAGCCGCUGACGGUUCACAGACCAAAAAUUUGAAGAGAUUGUUUGAUGGUGCCAAAGAUGCUAAAGGUAGCCCACCUGCAAAGCAACUUAAGGAGACGCCUGUCUUUCAGAACGUUCUGGGCAGCGUUGUCCUCUCACCAGCACAAAAAGAUACUCAGGAUUUCAAUAAAAAUGCAGCUGAUGACGGCGCUGAUCGAGUGAGCAGAAAUCCUGCCCCUGCUCACAUGGACAUGUUAAAAAAGAGACCAGCGCUUGAACCUCAGGCAGAUCACCUCGUCUGUAAGUCGGAGGUGGCCAUGGCGCCCCCCACGGAAGGCAUCGCAGCCCCGGCGGUGGCGGUGGGCCACAGGGACAAGAAGGCGGAGAGCACAGCGGAGGGCAAGUACCAGACAAGUGUGGACUGUCAGGAGAAACCUUUAAAUUUGUCCCUUGGGGCUCUUCACAGUUGCCCAGCAAUUUCUCUGAGUAAGAGUCUGAUCCCCAGCAUCACCUGCCCGUUUUGUACCUUCAAGACGUUUUACCCGGAGGUGCUGAUGAUGCACCAGCGGCUGGAGCACAAGUACAACCCCGACAUCCACAAGAACUGCAGGAGCAGGUCCCUGCUGCGGAGCCGGCGCACCGGCUGCCCGCCCGCGCUGCUGGGGAAGGACGUGCCGCCGCUGGCCAGUCUGCACAAGCCCAAGCCGCGGCCGGCCGUCCAGGCGCAAGCGCAGCCCAAGGCACUGCCCCCCGAGAAGGCCCGCAAGGCCCCGGCGGCCGCCGGGCUGGACCCCGGCACCCCAGCGCCAAGCAACCUCAAGUCGCAGAGGCCUCAGCAGGGCGGCGGGGGCCAGGGCGCCGCUCGACCGCCGCAGCCCGAGAUGUUCUCCAAGCCCAGCGUUUCCCCGGCUCCGGAGAAGAUGAGGAGACCCGAGAGCAAGUCGAAACCCCUCGCAGCGGCCGCCCCUCCGCAGCCUGCCCUCGGCAGCAGCAACGGCUUGGCCGCGGUCGACCACCCCGCGAAGACGGAAGGCCCGUGGGCUCCGCAGGGCAGGGACUACUUCUGCAGCCGCAGCGCCAGCAGCUCAGUGGCGGACUUCGGGGAGCCCCUCCCCAAGAGACUCAAGUCCAGUGCGGCCGCGCUGGACGCGGAGCAGCCGGCGUCCAAUUGCAGAAGGGGCUACGACGUGCCCAAGUACCACGUGGUCAGGAGCAUCACCUCGCUGUUGGCGCAGGAGUGCGUGUGCCCUCCGCCCGUGCUGCCGCCCAAGCCCAGGUUCCUGAGCGCCGGGGAGGCGGACGCACCGGGUGUGCUGACCGUGCAGAAGCCCUAUGGCGCCGCGGGACCGCUGUACGCCUGCGCGCCCGCCGGGCAUCCGGCUGCCGGCCCCGCGCUGGAAGGAAAAAGGCCUGUGUCGUACCAACACUUAUCCAGCAGCAUGCUGCAAAAGAGGAACUACGAGAAUUUCAUUGGGAAUGCACAUUAUCGACCAAAUGACAAAAAAACUUGAUUUCCUAUUUUUUUGGGGAAGAAAGGUCUUGCUGGAAAUAAGUUUGUACUCUCCGUGAAAUAAAUUUUAGUUCAUCUUUGAGAAGGCGAGUGGUGAAAGCUACUGAAAUAAGCUGUGAUUGUACUGUACAUAGAACAUGUAAAGAACAUGUGAGGAACACUACAGUUUGUAAAGUUGUUCUGUUAACUUUUGUACCAAAUAGCAAUAAAAACUAGUUGGAACAGUUGAGCUGUACCCAAUGGGGACUGGAAAUCUCUAUUUUGUCCCUGAAUAAUAUUUUUUUUAGAAUUGACCAAAUAAGUGGAGUUUUUGCAUACUUGAGCGCUGCUGAAAAGAAAUCAUUUGGGGUUGGGAGGGUGGGGUGGAGGAAAAUAUAUAAUGCUUGCACCUCAGGUAAACUCUGUAAAUAUCUAUGUUGUAAACUGCUUGUUUAAAUACUGUGUGUUCCUUUUCUCUAGUUGAGCUCAACACAUGGAGCAGUUUCUGCUGUUUGUGCUCAUUUAAAAUGUAUGUUUUAAAAAAAAAUUCUCAAUGACUUGUAUUAUGUUGAAUCCUCCGCAGUCUAUUGUCUUAACACAGUUGUUAACGGACUUAUUGACCCUCUCUGAAAACGUGCUACAGGGUCUUGAGGUCAGCGGUUCCGAACUUGGCACCCUCUUACUGCAGAUGUUGCCAGCGUGUGCCCUGGGGGGUUGGAGGCGCAGUCUCCUUCCCAGCUGCAGCCCUCACUGGGGCUUUACAGCCGUGUAUCCGCAGAGAAGCCCUUCCUCCAGUCCAUCCAGAUCUGGAGCUAACAUACCAAACUCCAUGUAGAGACUUGCGUGAAUCGAUGCAGGAAAUAUUUGGAGGAAUUUGUUCUUAGAAACCUUGCAUCACCAGCUCACCGCUUCCCACCACCCUGAUCCCCUACAGCAGAAACUGCAAACUUCCCCAAAUGAGGGCGUGGAGCACCCCCAGCCACCUCUGCGGAUCCCUGCUGCUGCCUCCCGCAGUGAGCACCUCGCUGUCACCCCUGACUCCUCCCUUCCUCUCUGGGUCCCAGCCGGUUGUCCUCCUUGGUUGCAAGGCUGUUCCCAGAGCCAGUGCUUCUUCUCAGGCGGCCCCUGCAUGUCCCCACUCGGGGCUGUAAUCGCUGGUGUUCCAGCGUUGGAGGAAUCCUGGACCCCAGGCAGGAUCCCCCGGCACUGUGUCCUCUGGCCUCCCUGUCUCUGAUCUGACCGUUCUCAUGAUGGGCCAUGCUGAGAACUACUAGUGAGUACUUGGCACAUAUCCCCUGGCCUGGGUUUGUCUGAUGCUUGGUUGGACCAGGGCAUGAAGGGCGGAGCACAGUGCCUCUUCAUGGUGUUGGGCCAACAGCCUGUGACAGCUAACCCUGCCUCAACCAGGGGACAAGGCUACCUUUGUGUGGCAUAUAGGAGAGCAUAUUCAUUUUACAGAAUGGUGGGGUUUGCUUUUGUGUUUGAAUGUUGUCACACGUUGGAUUGUCACCAGCCCAUGAAAUAACUAGAAGUUACGAUUCCAUUUUAUCAUUUCAAUAAAUAGGAAGCAUCAUCGAAGCCAGCCCUUGUUGAAACCAAAGGGUCUUGGAUCAAGGGAGGAAGGUCAGAGGUGGCCCCAAACUCAAGGAAACUGAGGCUCUGCAUGUCUAAGCAGCUUUGCCUGCAGAGAGUCUUCUCGCAGGUGACAGAGCCAAGAUUCCAACAGAUCUCCCUCCCAAGUCUCUGGGUGUUGUUUCUGGGGCUUUUGCACCACAGAUUCUAGAUAGCAAAGCACACCAAGAACUUUGCUGGAAGAUAUUAAACCAUGACUCCAAGCCUGUAACUAUAAUAACUGUGAUAAGAAUGUUCUCUCACAUCACAGCUCAUUCAUUACAGGGGAACUAUAGAUGCUCCCUCUCUUCAGAUGACAAUAUGGGGCCUGGAGUGUUAGGGCGGUGUCUAAAACCUAAGGUGGCUGUGCUGGGACCUGCUCCAUGACUGCUGGCCCCCAGAUCUGGACUCUCUUAAUCACUGUAUCACACACACUUACUUCAGUUAAACAAAGCUAUUUAUUUAUAUUGAGGUGCAUUUAAAAAGCAUACAAUUUAUAGUAUUAAGGUGUACUACCAGGAGCUUCUAGUACACUUGUGAUGUUGUGCAGCUGCCACGUCAGACAUUCCCACAGCCUCAAGAGGAAGCCUCUGCCGGGUUCCCCGUCCGUCACUCCCACCUCCCCUCCUCCAGACCCCCACAAUCCCUGAUGGCUUUCUGGCUCUAGAGGUUUGUCUCUUCUGGACAUUUUGUGUAAGUGGAAUCACAUCCUAGGGGGUCUCCUGUGUCUGGAUUCUUCCCUCUGAUGUUUACGAGGCUCAUCAUGUUGGAGCAGGUCCCUUUAAUGCUGAAGGAUAUUUCACCACUGGACGGGCCACAUUUUGUGUAUCCAUUCAUCAGUGGGUGUUUGCGCUUUUUGGCUAUUGUGAAUAAUAUUGCUCUGAAUUUUGGUGGUGAACUUUGUUUUUCUUUAUUUAGGGCUCAUGUUCAGGAGUGGAUCUGUUGGCCACUGGAUCACACACUCUCUUUUACUUUUCCUUCCUUUUACUUUAAAAUAUGAAGCUCCCGUGUUGGAUGAAUUCUUAUUCCUGAAAUUUUAGUCCAAAUAGUAUUACGCAAACUUCCUUACUGCCGAGUUCCCAAUGCUGGGAACACUGGCUAAAUCUGAAUAAAUAUAUUUUGAAUAAAUGAAUGGAAAA